rnacentral:lncRNA from 1 species
GAAUCCCAAACUUCGUUCAUCUUUUUACUCGGAGAAAAUCAACGAAUAUUGGAUCGUUGCAUAUUUUAAAACCGUUCGUUUCAAUCAAAGUUAAUUUAGUUUAAAAAUAAACGUAUUAUAAACAACAGGAAUGGAA